AUGUGUUGAGUCACCUCCUAUUUGUUGGCCGCCCUAUGGGGCAAUUCGUCUCUCAGGGCCAAGGAAAUAAAAAAUAUCCUGGACAGCAUGGGCAUCGAGGCAGAUGACGACCAGCUCAAUAAGGUCAUCAGUGAGCUGAACAGAAAGAACAUUGAGGAUGUCAUUGCCCAGGGUAUCAGCAAGCUGGCCAGUGUGCCUGCAGGUGGGGCUGUGGCUGUCUCCGCUGCCCCAGGAUCUGCAACACCUGCUGUGGGUUCUGCUACAGCAGCAGCAGACGAGAAGAAGGAGGAGAAGAAGGAAGAGUCAGAGGAGUCAGAAGAUGACAUGGGGUUUGGCUUGUUUGACUGAAGUCCCACUCCCCUGCAAAUAAAACCCUUUUUAUGU